GGAGAUUUCUUUAAUCCGUAUAGUGACUUAUUUAGUUUUAAUACAUGACCAUCUGGUAUAUUUAAUCCCUGAGGGGGCUUCAAGUAUACAUCUUCAUCUAUCCUACCAUAAAGAAAAGCUCCUUUGACAUCCAUUUGAUGAAUAUUAUAGUCUCUGUGUGCUGCUACUGACAACAACACUCUCAAUGUUUGCAGUUUCAAAACCGGUGAUUUUUUUCUUUCUUCGGGUGCUUCAUCUUUUUCUUCUACAUCUUGGUAAGGUAAGUAAAUUCUUGGUACAUAUUUUUCUUUAGGUUUUUCAUCGAAUAUCACAUUUCUUGCAUGUACUUCCUUUUGUGUUUCAGGAUCGAAGAGUAUGUAACCUGCUGGAGCAUAUCCAAUCAUAAUCAUCUUACGUCCGGUGUUAUCAAGCUUCUGUCUGCACUCUUUUGGUACAUAAUUAUAUGCUAAACUUCCAAAUACUCUCAUGUUUGACACAUUCGGUUUUCUUCCUUCCCAGAGUUCACUUGCAGUAUGGUACCUGUCUGCUGAUGGACUUCGGUUACUAACAUAUGCUGAGUACAAUACAGCAUCUCCCCAAAACUCUUUUCCUAAAGUUGAAUCUAAUAAAAUUGUUCUGGUCUUUUCCAACAACGUUCUAUUCAUUCUCUCUGCUACCCCAUUCAUUUCUGGAUUAUAUGGGACCGUGUACUCCAAUUUAAUUCCUUUGUAAUAACAAAAAUCUUGAAAUUCUUUAUUUACAUAUUCCUUACCGUUAUCUGAUCUAAGUUUUAAGAUGUUCCUAUUAAAAUGGUUUGUAACAUAAUAA